rnacentral:rRNA from 1 species
UCAGGACGAACGCUGGCGGCGUGCUUAACACAUGCAAGUCGAACGAUGAACCACUUCGGUGGGGAUUAGUGGCGAACGGGUGAGUAACACGUGGGCAAUCUGCCCUGCACUCUGGGACAAGCCCUGGAAACGGGGUCUAAUACCGGAUAAUACUCCCGCACUCAUGUGUGGGUGUUAAAAGCUCCGGCGGUGCAGGAUGAGCCCGCGGCCUAUCAGCUUGUUGGUGAGGUAAUGGCUCACCAAGGCGACGACGGGUAGCCGGCCUGAGAGGGCGACCGGCCACACUGGGACUGAGACACGGCCCAGACUCCUACGGGAGGCAGCAGUGGGGAAUAUUGCACAAUGGGCGAAAGCCUGAUGCAGCGACGCCGCGUGAGGGAUGACGGCCUUCGGGUUGUAAACCUCUUUCAGCAGGGAAGAAGCGCAAGUGACGGUACCUGCAGAAGAAGCGCCGGCUAACUACGUGCCAGCAGCCGCGGUAAUACGUAGGGCGCAAGCGUUGUCCGGAAUUAUUGGGCGUAAAGAGCUCGUAGGCGGCUUGUCACGUCGGGUGUGAAAGCCCGGGGCUUAACCCCGGGUCUGCAUUCGAUACGGGCUAGCUAGAGUGUGGUAGGGGAGAUCGGAAUUCCUGGUGUAGCGGUGAAAUGCGCAGAUAUCAGGAGGAACACCGGUGGCGAAGGCGGAUCUCUGGGCCAUUACUGAC